rnacentral:rRNA from 1 species
GACGAACGCUGGCGGCGUGCUUAACACAUGCAAGUCGAACGGAAAGGCCCUGCUUUUGUGGGGUGCUCGAGUGGCGAACGGGUGAGUAACACGUGAGUAACCUGCCCUUGACUUUGGGAUAACUUCAGGAAACUGGGGCUAAUACCGGAUAGGAGCUCCUGCUGCAUGGUGGGGGUUGGAAAGUUUCGGCGGUUGGGGAUGGACUCGCGGCUUAUCAGCUUGUUGGUGGGGUAGUGGCUUACCAAGGCUUUGACGGGUAGCCGGCCUGGGAGGGUGACCGGCCACAUUGGGACUGAGAGACGGCGCAGACUCCUACGGGAGGCAGCAGUGGGGAAUAUUGCACAAUGGGCGGAAGCCUGAUGCAGCAACGCCGCGUGCGGGAUGACGGCCUUCGGGUUGUAAACCGCUUUCGCCUGUGACGAAGCGUGAGUGACGGUAAUGGGUAAAGAAGCACCGGCUAACUACGUG